rnacentral:rRNA from 1 species
AAAAUAGACAGGGAAGGACAACGCCGAGGAGCAAUCCGACGCUGCUUCCCUUCGAGCACACAAGUCCGCCGUGGCUGCGCGUUGGUUCGUGCGUGCCUGCGAAGUUUUGUGUCGGGGGAAACACGGGAAGAAAUUCUCUUUCUUCGGCGCAUAUAUCGCGUGGCGUGCGCGUUCUAGCGCGUAGACAAAGCGUUGUUUCUUCUUAGAGGUAUUGACGACUCUACAUAAGUCGUACGAGACAGAGAGCAAUAACAGGUCUGUGAUGCCCCUUAGAUGCCCUGGGCCGCACGCGAGCUACAAUGCCGGGUACAGCGGGUCUUACAUCCUUCUCCGAAAGGAGCGGGUAACCCUCUGAAAGCCCUUCCGAUGUACGCUGUAGUGCGCUUGUCGCGUUCCUACACGAACAUCAUGGCUCGA